rnacentral:lncRNA from 1 species
UGGUACUGAUGGUUCUGGUGGCGCUGAUGAUGCUAAUGAUGAUGAUGAUGAUGAUGAUGGUGAUGAUGAUGGUGAUGAUGAUGGUUCCGGUUCUGAGGCCGGUAGUGAAGAGAGUUCUGAGUCCUAUGAGGACUAAGUUUUUUUUAUGCUUUUUUUAUGUUAUGUUUUAUUUUCUUGUAUUUUCAGAUAUUUGGUAUUUUGGUUAUGUACUUU